AGCGAACGCUGGCGGCAGGCCUAACACAUGCAAGUCGAACGAACCUUCGGGUUAGUGGCGGACGGGUGAGUAACACGUGGGAACGUGCCUUUUGGUUCGGAACAACUCAGGGAAACUUGAGCUAAUACCGAAUGUGCCCUUCGGGGGAAAGAUUUAUCGCCAUUAGAGCGGCCCGCGUCUGAUUAGCUUGUUGGUGAGGUAAAGGCUCACCAAGGCUACGAUCAGUAGCUGGUCUGAGAGGAUGAUCAGCCACAUUGGGACUGAGACACGGCCCAAACUCCUACGGGAGGCAGCAGUGGGGAAUCUUGCGCAAUGGGCGAAAGCCUGACGCAGCCAUGCCGCGUGAAUGAUGAAGGUCUUAGGAUUGUAAAAUUCUUUCACCGGGGACGAUAAUGACGGUACCCGGAGAAGAAGCCCCGGCUAACUUCGUGCCAGCAGCCGCAGUAAUAC
rnacentral:rRNA from 1 species